GGCGGAAUCGGUAGACGCAGCGGACUCAAAAUCCGCCGCCCUUAAAAGCGUGUGGGUUCGAGUCCCACC
rnacentral:tRNA from 1 species